UCCGUUAUGGUGUAGUGGCUAACAUUAUCGCCUCUCAUGAUCCCAGUGAAGCUGAUGUCAGCGCGAUAGCCCAGGGUUCGAUUCCCUGUAACGGAA